AGGUGGAGCUUGCUCUGCUGGAUCAGUGGCGAACGGGUGAGUAACACGUGAGCAAUCUGCCCCGAACUCUGGGAUAACCACGGGAAACCGUGGCUAAUACUGGAUAUGUACCGCGAUCGCAUGGUCUGUGGUUGGAAAGAUUUUUCGGUUCGGGAUGAGCUCGCGGCCUAUCAGCUUGUUGGUGAGGUAAUGGCUCACCAAGGCGACGACGGGUAGCCGGCCUGAGAGGGUGACCGGCCACACUGGGACUGAGACACGGCCCAGACUCNUACGGGAGGCAGCAGUGGGGAAUAUUGCACAAUGGGCGCAAGCCUGAUGCAGCAACGCCGCGUGAGGGAUGACGGCCUUCGGGUUGUAAACCUCUUUUAGUAGGGAAGAAGCGAAAGUGACGGUACCUGCAGAAAAAGCACCGGCUAACUACGUGCCAGCAGCCGCGGUAAUACGUAGGGUGCAAGCGUUGUCCGGAAUUAUUGGGCGUAAAGAGCUCGUANGCGGUUUGUC
rnacentral:rRNA from 1 species